rnacentral:rRNA from 1 species
AGUGAACGCUGGCGGUAGGCCUAACACAUGCAAGUCGAACGGCAGCACAGUAAGAGCUUGCUCUUACGGGUGGCGAGUGGCGGACGGGUGAGGAAUACAUCGGAAUCUACUUUUUCGUGGGGGAUAACGUAGGGAAACUUACGCUAAUACCGCAUACGACCUACGGGUGAAAGCAGGGGAUCUUCGGACCUUGCGCGAUUGAAUGAGCCGAUGUCGGAUUAGCUAGUUGGCGGGGUAAAGGCCCACCAAGGCGACGAUCCGUAGCUGGUCUGAGAGGAUGAUCAGCCACACUGGAACUGAGACACGGCCCAGACUCCUACGGGAGGCAGCAGUGGGGAAUAUUGGACAAUGGGGGAAAGCCGGAUCCAGCCAUACCGCGUGGGUGAAGAAGGCCUUCGGGUUGUAAAGCCAUUUUGUUGGGAAAGAAAAGCAGCAGGUUAAUACCCCGCGGUUCUGACGGUACCCAAAGAAUAAGCACCGGCUAACUUCGUG